UACGAAGGGGGCUAGCGUUGCUCGGAAUCACUGGGCGUAAAGCGCACGUAGGCGGAUUGCUAAGUCAGGGGUGAAAUCCUGGAGCUCAACUCCAGAACUGCCUUUGAUACUGGCGGUCUUGAGUUCGGGAGAGGUUGGCGGAAUUCCUAGUGUAGAGGUGAAAUUCGUAGAUAUUAGGAAGAACACCAGUGGCGAAGGCGGCUCACUGGCCCGGUACUGACGCUGAGGCACGAAAGCGUGGGGAGCAAACAGG
rnacentral:rRNA from 1 species